rnacentral:pre_miRNA from 1 species
UUUGUACUCCAUCCGUUCCAAAAUUCUUGUCUUAAAUUUGUCUAAAUACGGAUGUAUCUAGUUACAUUUUAGUGUUAGAUACAUCUGUAUCUAAACAAAUGUAAGACAAGAAUUUUGGGACGGAGGGAAUACUAC